rnacentral:rRNA from 1 species
UACGUAGGGGGCAAGCGUUAUCCGGAAUUAUUGGGCGUAAAGAGCUCGUAGGCGGUUUGUCGCGUCUGCUGUGAAAACUGGAGGCUCAACCUCCAGCCUGCAGUGGGUACGGGCAGACUAGAGUGCGGUAGGGGAGAUUGGAAUUCCUGGUGUAGCGGUGGAAUGCGCAGAUAUCAGGAGGAACACCGAUGGCGAAGGCAGAUCUCUGGGCCGUAACUGACGCUGAGGAGCGAAAGCAUGGGGAGCGAACAGG